AUAAAAACAUGUAAAGGAAAAUUUAAAGCUGGGAGGACUGAAAUACGCCCAAGAGAGAUCCCUGUAUCAGAAUAAUACCUUUUCCACCUUCCUCCUCAGUAGGUUGGGACAACACAGAAAACGAAACGACACCAUGGACAGCAAAUUCAAUUUAAAUUGACAAUAUGAUGCUAUUGUUGAAAAGCCACACCUUUUUCUGUGGUACAUUAAAUAAAUAUCAUA
rnacentral:lncRNA from 1 species